rnacentral:rRNA from 1 species
UACGUAGGGGGCAAGCGUUGUCCGGAUUUAUUGGGCGUAAAGAGCGUGUAGGCGGCCAGACAGGUCCGUUGUGAAAACUCGAGGCUCAACCUCGAGAUGUCGAUGGAAACCGUCUGGCUAGAGUCCGGAAGAGGAGUGUGGAAUUCCUGGUGUAGCGGUGAAAUGCGCAGAUAUCGGGAGGAACACCAGUAGCGAAGGCGACUCGCUGGGCCAUUCCUGACGCUGAGACGCGAAAGCUAGGGGAGCGAACAGG